rnacentral:rRNA from 1 species
AUCUACAGUCAUAUCACCAUCACUCACCAUACUCAAUCCCAUUUGGUCUUGGAAGCUAAGCAGGGUCCGGCCUGGUUAGCAUUUGAAUGGGGGACAGCCUGGGGAAAGUGGGUGAUGUGGGCU